AUCAAACAAAACAAUUGAACUAUUGCUUCUAGUCAUAAUAACACUUGAUAGUAAAUAUACAGGUCUGUUUAACUUUCACUCUGCUCUCGUAACCAGUCAGGAUUUAAAGCAUCUACACUUGAGAUAGAACUAAUAAUUGUUGAACGGUUUUGUAGAUGCAAAUUUCGAGUCUGACAAUAUCUAUAACCAGGAGCAGUUGUGAAAAAUACAACUGUAGGUCCUCUGGUAGUAAUCAAACAUGCGGCCCUGCGAUUCCGGUGCAACGCUCUAACCAACUGAGCUACAGAGUCCAG